GGCGGAUGUACCCAAGUGGAUCAAGGCAGUGGAUU
rnacentral:tmRNA from 1 species